rnacentral:rRNA from 1 species
UACAGGAGGGGGCAAGCGUUGUUCGGAAUUACUGGGCGUAAAGGGCGCGUAGGCGGCCCGCUAAGUCGAACGUGAAAUCCCCCGAGCUCAACUCGGGAACUGCGUCCGAUACUGGUGGGCUUGAAUCCGGGAGAGGGAUGCGGAAUUCCAGGUGUAGCGGUGAAAUGACGUAGAUAUCUGGAGGAACACCGGUGGCGAAGGCGGCAUCCUGGACCGGCAUUGACGCUGAGGCGCGAAAAGCUAGGGGAGCAAACGGGG